AGCGAACGCUGGCGGCAGGCCUAACACAUGCAAGUCGAACGAACCCUUCGGGGUUAGUGGCGGACGGGUGAGUAACACGUGGGAACGUGCCUUUAGGUUCGGAAUAACUCAGGGAAACUUGUGCUAAUACCGAAUGUGCCCUUCGGGGGAAAGAUUUAUCGCCUUUAGAGCGGCCCGCGGCUGAUUAGCUAGUUGGUGAGGUACUGGCUCACCAAGGCUACUAUCAGUAGCUGGUCUGAGAGGAUGACCAGCCACCUUGGGACUGCGACUCGGCCCAGACUGCUACGCGAGGAAGCAGUGGGGAAUCUUACGCAAUGGGCGAGAGCCUGACGCAGCCAUGCCGCGUGGAUGAUGAAGGUCUUAGGAGUGUAAAAUCCUUUCGCCGGUGAAGAUAAUGACUGUAGCCCGAGAAGAAGCCCCGGCUAACUUCGUGCCAGCCGCCUCGGUAACAC
rnacentral:rRNA from 1 species